rnacentral:rRNA from 1 species
AGUGGCGAACGGGUGAGUAACACGUGGGUGAUCUGCCCUGCACUCUGGGAUAAGCCUGGGAAACUGGGUCUAAUACCGGAUAGGACCAUGCUUUAGUGUGUGUGGUGGAAAGUUUUUUCGGUGUAGGAUGAGCCCGCGGCCUAUCAGCUUGUUGGUGGGGUAAUGGCCUACCAAGGCGGCGACGGGUAGCCGGACUGAGAGGUUGGUCGGCCACAUUGGGACUGAGAUACGGCCCAG